ensembl:lncRNA
GGAAGCGCUGAGGGACCGGGCGCAAAUGGAGGGCUUCCUGGGGUGGCGUCCUUGGCACUGGGCUCUGAGACUCCAGCAUCCUCUUGGCAGAAUGAGUCUUGAUCAGCAGCCGGCUUCAUCCCGUGCGUGAAACAAGGCGGAGCAUAAACGGAUAGCUACAUAAAUAGAUUGAGAAGAGGCUGGUUGGAAAGGCGGCAGGAAGCCGGGCGGCAAUGCCAAGGAGUGGCCUGCAGGUGGCAGGCCUGGAGCAGCCGCGGGGCUCAGGCUUCGCUCUCUCUGCAGGAAGAGUGUCUGCACAGAACUGGGUUUCAGCGAGAUGAAAAGCAGCCUCGUGGGAGGAUGAGGUUUGCUGGGGAGGAGGGUGGUGGGGACCAGCUGGGAACUGCAGGAGUCCAAGCAGGAGGUGGUGGAGGCUAGGACUGGGUGGGGGUGGACGAGGGCUAGGGAAGCGGGGCCACACAGGAGAGGCGCUGCUGACGGGCCCUGUGAGCAGCCAGCGGAGAGAGCCAGACUUCGAGGGCAGAGACACGUCGCUGGCUGUGCCCGUCUGCCGGUGGGAGUGAGAUGCGAAUUACUACCUGCUGACGUUUUCCUUGGCCAACCUCAAACUGAACCACUAAGAGGACUCAGAAGAAAAAUUGCAGGUCCCCCCGCCACCGUUCACCCCCAAACCCCGCAAAGGUGGAGGAAUUGGAAAUCUUGACAAGGGAUAAGCCUUAACGCAGCACUGCCACGCUGGCCUUUCUCCAGAUGGGCGUGUGAUGAGCACCGGCUCCCUGCCUUGGUUUUACCUGUACAGAGCCAGUAACUCCCGUCUAGUUUUCCUCCCCUGCUCUGAGCCUCUGGGAAAAUCCAGAAUUCCCAGAUUCAAAUCCUGGCUGGGCUGUUUCUUGAGCCACUCACUGAAGAUCUGAGUUUUCCCUCAGCAAGUUGGGGAAUGUUGAUCGCACCCACUUCCCUCCCAGGGUCGUGGUGAGGUUUGUGUGAAUCACUGUACCUGUAGAGCUUGGAGCAGUGCCUGACAUAGAGUGGGGCCUCCACGAAUGUCAGUCAUUAUAAUAAUUCUUCUUCAUGGGGCUUCCCUGGGGAUCCAGUGGUUAGGACUUCACCUUCCAGUUGACGACGUGCAGGUUUGAUCCCUGCUUAGGGAGCCAACACCCCACAGGCCUCACAGCCAAAAAAACCAAAACCUAAAACAAGCAGUAUUGUCAUAAAUUCAAUAAAGACUUUAAAAAGGGUCCACGUCGAAAAUCUUUAAAAAACAUAAUUAUUGAGAAUAAGUGACUGCUGAUGGUUGGGCUGAGAGUUUUGUUCAUUCGUUCACUGAACGUAUUUACGGCAAUCUAGUACAUGCUGAGGACACAGCAGUGAAGCAAAGGCGGCUCCUGGUAAAGAAUCCGCCUGCCAGUGCAGGAGGUGCGGGCUUGAUGCCUGGCUGGGGAAGAUCCCCUGGAGGAGGAAAUGGCAACCCACUCCAGUACUCUUGCCUGGCAAAUCCCAUGGACAAAGGAGCCUGGCGGGCUGCAGUCCAUGGGGUUGCAAAGAGUCUGAGCGAUUCAACAGGAGCAACAAUAUGUGCUGAGGAUACAACAGUGAACAAAAGAGACAAAUCCCCGCUCUCAGUUAACCAGUUGGUUAAUGGCUCCUGUGAGAGCAGCUCUGAGCAGGCCUCCCAGUCCCCCUGGACCCUGGUUUCUCCAUCUCUGCCAUGAAAUGCUCUUCUUGGAACAUUCAGGCAUGGAGGCUUGGGACAGAAGACUCCCUAAGACUCGGCCCCAUUAUGGCACAAGCCUUCUCUCUCGAGGGAGGGAGCACCCUGUGCCUAGAAGUAAUCAAGAAAAACAGCGUCCUUGACGGUCCCUCUCUACCCUGAAAUGUUAAGGACGCCUAAGAUUCCAUGACCGAAAUGACAAAUUUAAGUGCACAAACUUCUGAAAAGGUCCUAAAUUCAAGAUAACUGUGGCCACAGGGUGGCACCACUACCCAGGCCCAGUCUUGAAAAAUUGUUUUUUUGAGUAUAGCAAAGUACAGUUUAUAAUGUGACAAGCAUCUGCGAAUCUAUCGCCCAGAACACACAGAUGCUAACAUUUUUGGUCAUGUUUUCAUAUUAUUUUUUUUCCAGCCACACCAUGAGGCUUGCUGGAAUCUUAGUUCCCUAAGCAGGGAUGGAACUCAGCUGCAGAAGUGAAAUCUCAAGUUCUAACCACUGGACAGCCAGGGAAUUCCCUAGAUUUUAAAAAUAUUUUAGUUUUUAAAAGAAGUACAGUUGAUUUACAAUGUUGUGCCAAUCUCUUCUGUACAGCAAAGCGACUCAAUUUAUACGUGUAUACACUCUUUUUUUUAAAAAGUAUUUUCCAUUGUGGCAUUACAGAAUAUUGAAGAGAGUUCCCUGUGCAUUAGGACCUGGUUGCUUAUCCAUUCUAAAUGUAAUAGUUGGCAUCUACCAAACCCAAACUCCCAGUCCAUCCCUCCCUUUCCCCCCCAGAUUUUCUUAAUUUUAAUAAAGGAAUCAAACUGAAAGAGUUAAAGCAGAGGGUGCCUGCAUGCUAAGUCGCUACAGUCGUGUCUGACUCUGCAACCCCAUGGACUGUAGCCCACCAUGCUCCUCUGUCCAUGGGAUUCUCCAAGCAAGAAUACUGGAGUGGGUUGCCAUUUCCUCCUCCAGGGAAUCUUCCCCACCCAGGGAUCGAACCGGAGGCUCUUAUGUCUCCUACACUGGCAGGCAGGUUCUUUACCACUGGCACCACCUGGGAAGGCCGAAGCAGAGGGAAUAAUAAUAUUCAAUUUCACUAUAUACUUAAGCAUCUUAAAAUGUAUUUAAUUGAUUUAGUUUUGGCUGCAUUGGGUCUUUGUUGCCACCCGUGGGCUUUCUCUACAGUCUGAGUCUCCUCGUUGAUGCAGAGCACGGCCUCGCAUUGCGGUGGCUGCUCUUGCCGUGGAGCACGGAUUUUAGAGUUUGAGGCUUCAGCAGCUGGCACGUGGGCUCUGGAGCGUGGGCUCUGGAGCAUGGGCUCAGUAGUUGCGGUGCACGGGCUCAGUUGCCCCACAUGUGGAAUCCUCCUGGACAAGGGAUCGAACAUGUGUCCCCUACACUGGCAGGCAGAUUCUUAACCACUGGACCACCGGGGAAGUCUUCACCAUAUACUUCUAAUUUUCUCAAAGCUAAAAUGUACCAAGCACAUUCUCCAUGCCAAAUGGUUUCAAGGCUCAACCCAGUUGUAUGUCCAGUACCCCAGUUUCAUAGCUGCAGAGACACAAAAACGCUUGGCCAAGGUCACAGAGCAAGUAACCGAAUCGGGAUUAUGAACCCAGGAAGCAUCAGACUCAGUGGCCAUGAACUGGAGCAAACUCCUGGAGACAGUGGAGGACAGGGGAUCCUGUCGUGAUGCAGCCCAUUGGGUCACAAAGGGUCAGGUACGACUGAGUGACUGAACCACACCAACACUUGGCUCCAAAGUGUAUUCUACACAGGACUUCUCAGCUUUGCUGUUGCUCACAUCAGAAAUCCCUGGGCCGGGGAGCUCUGCUCAAUGUUAUGGGGCAGCCUGGGUGGGAGGGGAGUUAGGGGGAGAAUGGAUACAUGUAUGUGUAUGGCUGAGUCCCUUUGCUGUCCACCUGAAACCAUCACAACAUUGUUA